rnacentral:rRNA from 1 species
GACGUAGGGCGCGAGCGUUGUCCGGAAUUAUUGGGCGUAAAGAGCUCGUAGGCGGCUUGUCGCGUCGACUGUGAAAACCCGCGGCUCAACCGCGGGCCUGCAGCCGAUACGGGCAGACUAGAGUGCGGUAGGGGAGAUUGGAAUUCCUGGUGUAGCGGUGGAAUGCGCAGAUAUCAGGAGGAACACCGAUGGCGAAGGCAGAUCUCUGGGCCGUAACUGACGCUGAGGAGCGAAAGCAUGGGGAGCGAACAGG